CACCUAGCAGUAUGUAGUGGCCACCCAGCAGAAUAGAAUGAUGAACCUCUAGGUGCAGUUAUCGUAUGAUACAGUCCUUCUAUCGUGGAUCCCUACAGACCGGAGGUCAUGGAUAACUCGUCAAACUCCGUCGUCUGUCAUAUGUCUAGAUUUAUUCGACUUGAGUUCGAGAGUAGAAAACUCUUUUCCACUAUAUAUUCUGCUCUGGCCAAG
rnacentral:lncRNA from 1 species